GACGAACGCUGGCGGCGUGCCUAACACAUGCAAGUCAACUUGACUGAAGGAGCAAUCUGACAGUAGAGUGGCGCAAGGGUGCGUAACGCGUAAGUAACUUGCCCCAAGGUAAGGAAUAACGUCGAGAAAUCGGCGCUAAUACCUCAUAAUGCAGCGGAUCCGCAUGGAUAUGUUGUUAAAGGUUUACCGCCUUGGGAUAGGCUUGCGUCUGAUUAGCUAGUUGGUGUGGUAACGGCACACCAAGGCUACGAUCAGUAACUGGUCUGAGAGGAUGAUCAGUCACACUGGAACUGAGACACGGUCCAGACUCCUACGGGAGGCAGCAGUGAGGAAUAUUGGGCAAUGCUCGAAAGAGUGACCCAGCAACGCCGCGUGGAGGAUGAAGGUAUUCUAUAUCGUAAACUCCUGUGAGAGCAGACG
rnacentral:rRNA from 1 species